rnacentral:rRNA from 1 species
AGAAUCAACGCUGGCGGCGUGCCUAACACAUGCAAGUCGAACGAGAAAGGGACUUCGGUCCUGAGUACAGUGGCGCACGGGUGAGUAACACGUGACUAACCUACCCUGGAGUGGGGAAUAACUGAGGGAAACCUUAGCUAAUACCGCAUAAUACCUACGGGUCAAAGGAGCAAUUCGCUUCAGGAGGGGGUCGCGGCCGAUUAGCUAGUUGGCGGGGUAAUGGCCCACCAAGGCAAUGAUCGGUAUCCGGCCUGAGAGGGCGCACGGACACACUGGAACUGAAACACGGUCCAGACUCCUACGGGAGGCAGCAGUGGGGAAUUUGCGCAAUGGGGGAAACCCUGACGCAGCAACGCCGCGUGGAGGAUGAAAUCCCUUGGGAUGUAAACUCCUUUCGAUCGGGACGAUUAUGACGGUACCGGAGAAGAGCCCGGCUAACUUCGCGCAGCAGCCGC